CACGUAGUUAGCCGUCCCCUUUCUGGGUAGUUACCGUCACUUGAUGAGCUUUCCACUCUCACCAACGUUCUUCUCUACCAACAGAGUUUUACGAUCCGAAAACCUUCUUCACUCACGCGGCGUUGCUCGGUCAGACUUUCGUCCAUUGCCGAAGAUUCCCUACUGCUGCCUCCCCGUAGGAGUUUGGGCCGUGUCUCAGUCCCAAUGUGGCCGAUCACCCUCUCAGGUCGGCUAUGUAUCAUCGCCUUGGUGAGCCUUUACCUCACCAACUAGCUAAUACAACGCGGGAUCAUCUUUGAGUGAUGCAAUUGCAUCUUUCAAACUUAAAAACUUGUGUUUAAAGUUUUUAUGCGGUAUUAGCAUUCGCUUCCAAAUGUUGUCCCCCGCUCAAAGGCAGAUUCCCCCACGCGUUACUCACCCGUUUCGCUGCUCAUCCAGUUGGUACAAGUACCAACCUUCAGCGCUCAACUUGCAUGUAUUAGGCACGCCGCCAGCCGUU
rnacentral:rRNA from 1 species